AAUCUACAUCAUCACGCAUUCUGGUCCCUAUUCUUCUCUUGAUUGCCUGGAUUGUGGGCUGCAUCGUAAUGGUUUACAUUACCUUCUUUUAGAAAGGCAAGACGACUUCAGACUGACGCCAUUUAGAAGAAUGAAGACAAGUGUGAACAUGACAGAUUAUUAAAUAUGUCUCAUGUAGACAACUGCAAUGUUUGACACUACUUCAUAAACUUGGAUUUGUAAACUGA